CUGGCCCUACGGGACGCAGCAGUGGGGGAUAUUGCACAAUGGGGGGAACCCUGAUGCAGCGACGCCGCGUGGGUGAAGAAGCGCCUCGGCGCGUAAAGCUCUGUCAGCAGGGAAGAAAAUGACGGUACCUGAAGAAGAAGCCCCGGCUAACUACGUGCCAGCAGCCGCGGUAAUACGGAGGAUGCGAGCGUUAUCCGGAUUUAUUGGGUUUAAAGGGUGCGCAGGCGGCGUGUCAAGUCAGCGGUAAAAUGUCGG
rnacentral:rRNA from 1 species